rnacentral:rRNA from 1 species
GUGGGGAAUAUUGGACAAUGGGCGCAAGCCUGAACCAGCCAUGCCGCGUGCAGGAAGACGGUCCUAUGGAUUGUAAACUGCUUUUAUUUGGGAAUAAACUCCGGUACGUGUACCGGCCUGAAGGUACCAAAUGAAUAAGCACCGGCUAACUCCGUGCCAGCAGCCGCGGUAAUACGGAGGGUGCAAGCGUUAUCCGGAAUCAUUGGGUUUAAAGGGUCCGCAGGCGGUCUUAUAAGUCAGUGGUGAAAGCCUACAGCUCAACUGUAGAACUGCCAUUGAUACUGUAGGACUUGAAUUCGAUCGAAGUGGGCGGAAUGUGACAUGUAGCGGUGAAAUGCUUAGAUAUGUCACAGAACACCGAUAGCGAAGGCAGCUCACUAGGUCUGGAUUGACGCUCAGGGACGAAAGCGUGGGGAGCAAACAGGAUUAGAUACCCGAGUAGUCC